rnacentral:rRNA from 1 species
GACAGAGGUGCCAAGCGUUAGGCGGAAUCACUGGGCUUAAAGCGUGUGUAGGCGGAUGCCUAAGUACCUUGUGAAAUCCCACGGCUCAACCGUGGAACUGCUGGGUAUACUGGGUGUCUUGGGCCAACUAGGGGUCGCUGGAACAAAUGGUGGAGCGGUGAAAUGCGUAGAUAUCGGAAGGAACACCUGUGGCGAAAGCGGCUCACUGGACCAUUACUGACGCUGAUGCACGAAAGCUAGGGGAGCAAACAGG